rnacentral:tRNA from 1 species
GGUUCCAUAGCGUAGCGGUUAGCAUGUCUGCUUUACGUGCAGAAGAUCCUGGGUUCGCGCCCCAGUGGAGCCA